rnacentral:tRNA from 1 species
GAAUUCAUGGUGUAGUGGUCAGCACACUCGGCGCGUAUUCGAGAGGUCCGUGGUUCGAAUCCCGGCGAGGGCA